ensembl:lncRNA
AAAGGCUCAGUAAUUCUAGUGUUAAUGUUAAAGUUGACCUUUGACCUUUUCAGUGUUGGAAAUAUGCUUUCUUGCACUGAGAUCUGCUUAUUGUAAAUAUCUUGUACUUGUUUUUACACCUUUGAAUGUUAAAGUUGACCUUUGACCUUUUCAGUGUUGGAAAGACACUUUCUUGCACUGAGAUCUGCUUAUUGUGUCAUGAUUCGGCUGUGUGGCAGGCAGGAAGUGGACCCAAACGCAAGCUCACAGAGGCAGGAAUGAACUCAAAACACAGCUUUAUUGCUGGAGGGAAACGGUGAAACAAACUGAUAAACUACACUGGGAAAAUAUACACUAGCACACAGGGAAACACACGGCCAUGAAUGAGGGAGAACGUGACACAGGACUGAGGGAGACGCGGACCUAAAUACACAGAGGGUUAACGAGGGGAGUGGGAGCACACAGGGAACACAGGUGACACUGAUAAUCAUAACGAGACAGGGCAGGAGUGAACACAACAUGACGCAUACUGACGAGGGACUGUCAAAGUAAAACAGGAAGUGCACAGAGGUUCAGACAGGUGGAGAGAGAGAGGACAGACAUAACGGGCUGGGGACAACAUUGAAUGAAACACGAGGGGAAACGAGG